CCUUUUCCCACACCCUGGGCCAGGGAACCGCUUGUUAUAAUGUCUGGGGAUUUAAAGCUAAUACAAGAACAAUAUGUACAGGAAUUGUUGAUAAAACUGAAUGGUAUAUAUGGCAAUGUUUCUUCGCAGUUUCCCUUACCUUCACAGGAACCUACUCAUCCAUACCAGCCCGGUGACAAGGUGUAUAUCCGUCAGCUGAAUAGGACCAAGAAAGGAGGAUACCCUUUCGGACCACCUGCUACUGUGAUUGCUGUAACCAGAACCGCUGUCCUCACAGAUUCCCACGACAUCUGGAUUCACGCAUCCCGAGUGAAGCUGUGUCCAAAGAGGGGAACAAAGGAAGACAACACCACUCCUCACUCGGAAAGAGAAGAAUUUCUCCUCAGCGAAGCAUCAUGGCUUUCACACCAUAUCGUAGAUUGAGAGGAUCAUACGAACCUGAGACCAAGAUUAUGUUGUGCAUAUGCUUUCUGGAGUUGUUAUACUCCCUCUGAUAUUAUUCCUUGAAUGCCAUUAUGAGUACAAGUCAAUGGGAAGUUUGAAACCUGUUUGUUUCUGGAGAAAUGACUCUGACAUGAUGAACAAUUCUUCAAUACCCCAAGCCCAAUUAGGCCUUAGCCCCUCAUCUAGCACUCGUCACACACGCUCCCUCAAGAACCUUUCUCCACCACCUAUCUAUCAGCAUGUAAUAUGCAAGCACUCAUUGACUGAACACAUAUGGAUGAACUGGAUAAAUAAUAAUCCCUAUAAGUACCAGUUACCCAUAUGGAAUGUGUCCACAGCUAAUGAAACCGAUGCAUUAUGUUUGUUUGAAGGUUCACGGAAAAUUGUUAGAUCUUAUAACGCAG